rnacentral:rRNA from 1 species
ACGAACGCUGGCGGCAGGCUUAACACAUGCAAGUCGAGCGCCUCGCAAGAGGAGCGGCAGACGGGUGAGUAACGCGUGGGGAUCUGCCUAGUGGUACGGAACAACACGGGGAAACUCGUGCUAAUACCGUAUAAGUCCUUCGGGAGAAAGAUUUAUCGCCAUUAGAUGAACCCGCGUCUGAUUAGCUAGUUGGUGAGGUAACGGCUCACCAAGGCGACGAUCAGUAGCUGGUCUGAGAGGAUGAUCAGCCACACUGGGACUGAGACACGGCCCAGACUCCUACGGGAGGCAGCAGUGGGGAAUAUUGGACGAUGGGCGCAAGCCUGAUCCAGCCAUGCCGCGUGAGUGAUGAAGGCCUUAGGGUUGUAAAGCUCUUUCGCUGGGGAAGAUAAUGACGGUACCCAGAGAAGAAGCCCCGGCUAACUUCGU